UGUAAAAAUUUGUCAAAUUUUUAUUUUUCGAAAAUCAAAAAAGUAUGGAUAGGCAUAGUUAGAUAUGUUUUUUAGCUGCGCAAAACAGUCUUUAUUUUAGCUGUGUAUCCAUUUUUGGCCAAGUUAUGGCCAAAAAAACCGAUUGAAAAUAUCAAAUUUUUCACAAUUUUUUUCUCGAUUUUUUGAUACAAUAUAAUCUUUUUUUUAGUUGCCCAAAAGUGGAAUGCCAUACCUCAUUGAGUUCGUAACAAAAUUAGAAUGCUCUUCAAUAUCGAAACUGCUCCUUCUUACGUAUCAUGCAUUUAUAUGAUAGGGGAUAGUUCAAUUCUUGGGUCAGCAGAUAAAGAACUCUGUAAUUGGAACCCCUAUGUCAUAAUUAAACAGCGGAUUACCAAUCAUUUGUCGUUCAUCAGAUGAUAUGAAAUGAUCUUGUGAAAACAGUAAGAAAGCUAGUGAAUUUUCCACCCAUUUGGGAACUUUUCAUGAAGUUUAUGAUGGCGCCUUUGAAAGGCAUUUCUGUGCUGUUCGUCGUCUUUUAAUUGGAAGUGUGUGUGUGCUGCCUUUCUGAAAAUGGCCAUUUAACCUUUAUUUAUUCGUUUCUAAACAAGCAGCACAAAUAAAGUGUCUGAACUCUAAACAGACACCUUUGGCAAAGAUUCUUUUGUGUCUGCUGUAAUUCGCAUUCAAUUGGAGGGCAUUAUUUGGCGCCAUUUGCACGCCAAUUGUUUGGCUUGUGUGGACAGCUUGACGAUGUCCGGAAUGUGAGUGGACCCACAAAUCCGAAAACUAACUGCUCCGGUUCCGAUCCGCAGCACCAGGAAUUCUCAUUCUCGGUGGGCAGCUGCCCGGAGGCGAGUGGCCAGUUAACACCUCCAUUCUCCAUUCAUCUGGGCAAACAAUGUGUUUGUCUUGAUCGUUUGGCUUUGGUCAAGAAAUUAUGAGGUAUCUAAAAAUGGUGUGUGCAUAUAAAGCAAUCGUAGCAAUAGUAUAUUCAGGUCUUUACUCUAACAAUUAGGAGCCAGCAGACAUAAUUAUCGAGAGGUGAUAAGUGCAGAAGUUUGAAAGGUGGUAACAGCAACUGCAUGCUGGGGAAAGUAUUACCAUUUGACAUGAGGUUCAUGGGCCAAAGCCAUCGCAGCUGCAAUUGAUUAGGCAGAUUUCAAAAAUGGUGGCCUGCAAAGAAAGUAUUUAAAUAUUUAUAAUUCCUCCAGUUUGGCAUAUUCAUUUGUUAUUGGAAAGCAACUCGUUUGAAUAACUUUCAAGCCGCCACCUUACAUUCCGCGAUAUGAAUUGUUAAUUCCACAAAUAUUCAUUCUUAUGCGCUAUUGCUUUAUAAUGCUUUCCAAAAAGUGUCACGUAGAUUCGUACACACUUCAAUCUGUCCCACAUUUUAUAAAAUCCGAAUGGUUUUUCGAGGUUUUUUGCUUUUUUGUGUACACGACUUACACCGCGAGAAAUUCGGAAUGGUGAGGGUUUGUGCACUAAUGAGACAGUGCGUGAAAUUAAUGUAUACACGCCUGUGGACUUAAGCUCAAUGCUGCGAGCCGUAUGUGCAAUCCCAAGUGGAUUGGAGAGCUGGAGCAAUGCCCCUGGUUCUGGAUAUCUGGUGUGGAUAUCGUCUGUGCCAGCGGAUCUUGUAUCAAUUUGUCUUAGAAGCUGGCUUUUAUUUGCCAGCUUUGUUUCGGGUUGGCUAAAUAAAUUUGAGAUGUCUGGAGCUAGCCAAUUGCAGAUGCAAACGCGUUAUAAUACGAUCAUUAGUGAGGCAAAGCAAUGAAAGCGGGGGGAAACACAAAGAAACCGGAUUCGAAGACUCUUCUCCGGUUCUGUGUUACUUCUACUUCAAGUGUUAUCAUCAUCGCAGCAGAGUUGAAAUAAAUACUUGUGUACGAAAAA